GACGAACGCUGGCGGCGUGCUUAACACAUGCAAGUCGAACGGAAAGGCCCUGCUUGCAGGGUACUCGAGUGGCGAACGGGUGAGUAACACGUGGGUGAUCUGCCCUGCACUUCGGGAUAAGCCUGGGAAACUGGGUCUAAUACCGGAUAGGAGCCAUUUUUAGUGUGAUGGUUGGAAAGUUUUUUCGGUGUAGGAUGAGUUCGCGGCCUAUCAGCUUGUUGGUGGGGUAAUGGCCUACCAAGGCGGCGACGGGUAGCCGGCCUGCGAGGGUGGACGGCCACAUUGGGACUGAGAUACGGCCCAGACUCCUACGGGAGGCAGCAGUGGGGAAUAUUGCACAAUGGGCGCAAGCCUGAUGCAGCGACGCCGCGUGGGGGAUGACGGCCUUCGGGUUGUAAACUCCUUUCGCUAGGGACGAAGCUUUUUGUGACGGUACCUAGAUAAGAAGCACCGGCUAACUACGUG
rnacentral:rRNA from 1 species